GCUCGUCGGUGUGGGGUUCGAGGCGGUUGAGUGAGACGAGACGCGCCCCUCCCACGCGGGGAAGGGCGCCCGCCUGGUCCGGCGAGCGCACGUCCGGUGCUCCCCUCUGGCGGGUGCGCACGGGCCCUGUGAGCGAUCGCGGUGGGCUUGGGCUGGUGACGCGUGCGCCGGCCGGCCGCCGAGGGGCUACCGUUCUGCCUCCGACCGGUCGUGUGUGGGUUUACUCGGAGACAGGGUCUCACUCUGUCACCCAGGGUGGAGUGCAGUGGUGCAAUUAUGGCUCACUGUAGUCUUGAUCUCCUGGGCUCAAGCAGUCCUCCCAACUCAGCUCCCAAGUAGCUAGAACUACAGAAAUACUAGGCUUUAGAAUUUCACCAUAUGAAUUUUGGGAGAGAGGAGCACAGUUCAGCCCAUAACUAACACACGACGGAAUGAAGUUGAUAAUAGUGAGACCUUGUUGGUACAAGACUAUGUAACAUAACCUGCGCUUCUCAACAAAGAAUUGCUUUUCUGACUUCUGCACUCAGUUCUUUCCUCCAGCUCACUUUAUUGUAAGAACCUUGGUGUCUGUAAUCGGCUCGGAACCCUUGCUGCUCUUUCACUGAAUAUCGCUGUCUGGCAACACGCUGUCCUGGAUAGCUAACGUGUUUAUGAAUGCAAGGAAAUUUUCAAAAAGGGAGUUUGAAAUUUAACUCCACAAACUACUAUCUGGAUUGGAAUGCUACAUUAAAUGUAUUAUAAUUUUGUAUGGACAUAUAAGGAUGGGGAAUGAAAAGCAUCCAAGGCCAUAUGUUGAUAAUCUUUUGAUAUGUUAAGAAAUAAUCUAGUGUUAUUUUCUAUUUCUUCUCAAAUGUUUUUAGAGGUUACUUGGUACACUGGUCGACAAAACCUUGAAAUGUUGAUGUUUAAGGGCUGUUGAUUGCUGGCAGCAAAGAAGUCCAACUG
rnacentral:lncRNA from 10 species